rnacentral:rRNA from 1 species
AUUGAACGCUGGCGGCAGGCCUAACACAUGCAAGUCGAGCGGAUGAAGGGAGCUUGCUCCUGGAUUCAGCGGCGGACGGGUGAGUAAUGCCUAGGAAUCUGCCUGGUAGUGGGGGAUAACGUCCGGAAACGGGCGCUAAUACCGCAUACGUCCUGAGGGAGAAAGUGGGGGAUCUUCGGACCUCACGCUAUCAGAUGAGCCUAGGUCGGAUUAGCUAGUUGGUGGGGUAAAGGCCUACCAAGGCGACGAUCCGUAACUGGUCUGAGAGGAUGAUCAGUCACACUGGAACUGAGAAACGGUCCCGACUCCUACGGGAGGCAGCAGUGGGGAAUAUUGGACAAUGGGCGAAAGCCUGAUCCAGCCAUGCCGCGUGUGUGAAGAAGGUCUUCGGAUUGUAAAGCACUUUAAGUUGGGAGGAAGGGCAGUAAGUUAAUACCUUGCUGUUUUGACGUUACCAACAGAAUAAGCACCGGCUAACUUCGUG